CCCAGGGUGGUAUAGUGGUUUGAGUGUUGGACUAUGAUUCUGGAGACCAGGGUUUGAAUCCCAGCUCAGCUG
rnacentral:tRNA from 1 species